rnacentral:rRNA from 1 species
CCUGAUGCAGCCAUGCCGCGUGUGUGAAGAAGGCCUUCGGGUUGUAAAGCACUUUCAGUUGUGAGGAAAAGUUAGUAGUUAAUACCUGCUAGCCGUGACGUUAACAACAGAAGAAGCACCGGCUAACUCCGUGCCAGCAGCCGCGGUAAUACGGAGGGUGCGAGCGUUAAUCGGAAUUACUGGGCGUAAAGCGCACGCAGGCGGUUUGUUAAGCUAGAUGUGAAAGCCCCGGGCUCAACCUGGGACGGUCAUUUAGAACUGGCAGACUAGAGUCUUGGAGAGGGGAGUGGAAUUCCAGGUGUAGCGGUGAAAUGCGUAGAUAUCUGGAGGAACAUCAGUGGCGAAGGCGACUCCCUGGCCAAAGACUGACGCUCAUGUGCGAAAGUGUGGGUAGCGAACAGGAUUAGAUACCCUGGUAGUCCACACCGUAAACGCUGUCUACUAGCUGUUUGUGGCUUUAAGCCGUGAGUAGCGAAGCUAACGCGAUAAGUAGACCGCCUGG